rnacentral:rRNA from 4 species
AAUGCUGACAUAAGUAACGAUAAAGCGGGUGAAAAGCCCGCUCGCCGGAAGACCAAGGGUUCCUGUCCAACGUUAAUCGGGGCAGGGUGAGUCGACCCCUAAGGCGAGGCCGAAAGGCGUAGUCGAUGGGAAACGGGUUAAUAUUCCCGUACUUGGUGUUACUGCGAAGGGGGGACGGAGAAGGCUAUGUUGGCCGGGCGACGGUUGUCCCGGUUUAAGCGUGUAGGUGUGUGUUCCAGGUAAAUCCGGUUCACUUUAACACUGAGGCGUGACGACGAGGCACUACGGUGCUGAAGCAACAAAUGCCCUGCUUCCAGGAAAAGCCUCUAAGCAUCAGGUAACAUCAAAUCGUACCCCAAACCGACACAGGUGGUCAGGUAGAGAAUACCAAGGCGCUUGAGAGAACUCGGGUGAAGGAACUAGGCAAAAUGGUGCCGUAACU